rnacentral:rRNA from 1 species
AGAGUUUGAUCCUGGCUCAGAACGAACGCUGGCGGCGUGGAUAAGACAUGCAAGUCGAACGAGAGAAUUGCUAGCUUGCUAAUAAUUCUCUAGUGGCGCACGGGUGAGUAACACGUGAGUAACCUGCCCCCGAGAGCGGGAUAGCCCUGGGAAACUGGGAUUAAUACCGCAUAGUAUCGAAAGAUUAGGGCAGCAAUGCGCUUGGGGAUGGGCUCGCGGCCUAUUAGUUAGUUGGUGAGGUAACGGCUCACCAAGGCGAUGACGGGUAGCCGGUCUGAGAGGAUGUCCGGCCACACUGGAACUGAGACACGGUCCAGACACCUACGGGUGGCAGCAGUCGAGAAUCAUUCACAAUGGGGGAAACCCUGAUGGUGCGACGCCGCGUGGGGGAAUGAAGGUCUUCGGAUUGUAAACCCCUGUCAUGUGGGAGCAAAUUAAAAAGAUAGUACCACAAGAGGAAGAGACGGCUAACUCUGUGCCAGCAGCCGCGGUAAUACAGAGGUCUCAAGCGUUGUUCGGAAUCACUGGGCGUAAAGCGUGCGUAGGCUGUUUCGUAAGUCGUGUGUGAAAGGCGCGGGCUCAACCCGCGGACGGCACAUGAUACUGCGAGACUAGAGUAAUGGAGGGGGAACCGGAAUUCUCGGUGUAGCAGUGAAAUGCGUAGAUAUCGAGAGGAACACUCGUGGCGAAGGCGGGUUCCUGGACAUUAACUGACGCUGAGGCACGAAGGCCAGGGGAGCGAAAGGGAUUAGAUACCCCUGUAGUCCUGGCAGUAAACGGUGCACGCUUGGUGUGCGGGGAAUCGACCCCCUGCGUGCCGGAGCUAACGCGUUAAGCGUGCCGCCUGGGAGUACGGUCGCAAGAUUAAAACUCAAAGAAAUUGACGGGGACCCGCACAAGCGGUGGAGUAUGUGGCUUAAUUCGAUGCAACGCGAAGAACCUUACCUGGGCUUGACAUGUAAUGAACAACAUGUGAAAGCAUGCGACUCUUCGGAGGCGUUACACAGGUGCUGCAUGGCCGUCGUCAGCUCGUGUCGUGAGAUGUUUGGUUAAGUCCAGCAACGAGCGCAACCCCUGUUGCCAGUUACCAGCACGUGAAGGUGGGGACUCUGGCGAGACUGCCCAGAUCAACUGGGAGGAAGGUGGGGACGACGUCAGGUCAGUAUGGCCCUUAUGCCCAGGGCUGCACACGUACUACAAUGCCCAGUACAGAGGGGGCCGAAGCCGCGAGGCGGAGGAAAUCCUAAAAACUGGGCCCAGUUCGGACUGUAGGCUGCAACCCGCCUACACGAAGCCGGAAUCGCUAGUAAUGGCGCAUCAGCUACGGCGCCGUGAAUACGUUCCCGGGUCUUGCACUCACCGCCCGUCA